AGGCCCCGCCCCGCGGCGCGCGAGGAAUGCUGGGGCGGAGGCUGAAGGCGGCCGUUGGUCAUGGCUAUGGGGGAGAAGUUAUAGUCGCUAAUGGUGUUGGGGGCGCUGUUGGGUUUCGAGGUGGAAUGCGUAUGGUUGGGGACAGCGAGCUUGUGUCUUCCCUGGCACCGCUUGGUCCUGGGCUCAGCUGCUUCUGUGCCAUCAAUGAUAUGAGUUCCAAGCUGUAUACAACAGAAUCAAAGAACAGAGAAAUGGAACUGGAGUUGACCAACAUUAGGAAAAAAUGAACUGCUGCACUGGCGCUGAAAAAGCAGAGGAGAGCAGCUUGCUGCCACGGGGUUGGAUCAGUCAUUGACAUAUCAGUCACUAGUGAGCAUGUCUGAGGUUGAACAAUUAAAAUACGUUUCCUGAAUGUACGUUGUCAUUCUUGUGAACCAGCACUGGGUGGCAAUGUUGACGUUGCACAGUGUUUCAGAAGAGCACUAACUAAAAAUCAUGUUGGAAUUCUACAUCCAAAAUGGAAUUGGAACCUUUCUAGUCUUUAUCUGACCUUCAUCAUCUUCUCAAACUUGAGUAAAAGGGCAUGUUUGACUCCCUGGCAUUUCUAUGUCUGCUCUGCCAAGAGCUCUGUGAAUUAUGCAGCACAAAUGACUUCAUCUUUGGAGUGCGUUUUUUGGUAUGUUUUAGGUUGAUUAUUUGAGAGGAAGAAAAAGAACUUUAACGUGCUAAAUUUUCAGCCCCCCAGGGAAACUACCUCCCCUUGUUAACAGAAUGAGCAAAGCAGUGCAUGUUUGGGGACUUCUUUUCUGUUGCGUGUGUAAAAUUUUCACACACAAGCCAUAGACAUGAGACUGUAUCUCCUUCCUUGGGGCUCAGGUCUGUGUGUGGCCUACAGCGAUGUUGACCAUGAAAGUCCUCUGGUGGCUUCUGAGUUGACAGGCUCCCUCCUGUCAGGGAGGUGAGAUCGGGUGGUUAUUCUGUAGGAAACAGUGUUGUAUGUUUUCAGAACGGAAGAGAAUGUACCUCUGUAAAACUUGAACUGGGUUUGACUGACUGAGUGAAAGGUAGAUCUUCAGUUCUCCAUACAUUUUGAGAAGGAUCACAAGAACUCUAAUAUCAGUGAAUUCUGAAAUGCUGUAGAUAAUUGUAAAUGUGUUUCACUGAUUUACAUCUCUUUACAUGUAAGACUAUGGAAUAUAAUAUUUGUUCUGUCCAUAGAAACUGGCUGAAAUGCAGGAAGAAAUUGUGCCUUUGAAGAAGAAACUUGAGUACUACCUUGAUUUAACUCCUGUAAUUAUUUUUUCACUGUUCUUUUAUAUUUGCAGUCAGAUUAAUUUCAAUGGACUUUGAAAAUAUAAAGGAAAUUGUUGCAUGUUUCAAUAGAUAAAGAUCUAUCUAUAGAUCUAUUAAUGAGUGGUGUAAACAAAAGACUUCACUUAAGCUAUAUAUUGAUUAAUCAAAGCCUAAAAGAAGUGUUUGCCAGGCAAACUGUGCUCUAACAAAAUGUCUAGGAAUGUGACCUGAAGAAAAAGGCUAGUUGAGCCCAGUAUCAAGAUGAAUUAGCUAGAAAUUAAAAACUUAGAAGAAAAUGUAAUUCCUUAGUAUAACAAAAGUUUUUAGAUUUCACAUGUCCUAAUUAAUUUACAUUAGUAAGCCAGGCUGUCAAUAUGGCAGACACAGCACACUGCAGAGGUUAAAGCUCUGAGCAACACUGUAAAAAUUAUGAAGAAAUACCCAAAUACAGACUUUUCCCUAAGCAAGUCAAAUACUGUAGCUUGUAUGAGUACUGGCUGCUCUAUCCUCUUCCUUGAUUUCUCUUGAGGGUGCUGGGUAUGCACCUCAUCAGGCUGCUCUCUGAAGCACCUUUUAUAAAAAGGGUUUUACUCAUUUCAAAUGAGAAGAACCUGUGUUACAAAAGACUUUCAGUUGAGGGUGGCUCUGUAAACAAUUUAAUGGCUUAAAGAAAUCAUGGAGAAACAGUAAAUAUGUGAAACAGAUGUCUUUGGCUUUGUGUGAUGUGUGUAUAUCACUGCCUGAGGUACUUGGGACGAUUCAGCCUGAGUAUUUCUGGUCUCCCUUGGAAGAUCGUCACUACUUUUACAGAUGAGUAUUAAGGAUUUUCUCUGUUAUUCAAGUGAGAUUUGGCAAAAACUGGAGUGGAUAUUUGAGUGGGUUUUGGCUACAGUAAAUAAAAAUGGUAAACUAAAUGGUUGCAAUUGUACUUGAGUUACCUGGUAUGGCCACUGUUACCUCCUCAUCUGAGCACCCCACAGUCUAUAAGACAGGUAACCUCUGAGGUGAAGGAUUUAUUCUAGUUUUAUAAAUAGGGAGUAGAGGCCCAGAGAAACAAAGGGACUUGUCCAAACUCAUGUAGAAAUUCUAAGAUGAAUCAUGUAUUUUGUGUUGUGAACUGGGGACCUGUCUGCUGGAUCACCCUUCACCUCUUCAGCCCUUGCACAGGGUUCCUGCUCCUCAGCACCCCUUCCUGUAACCUAAUUUCUCCUUUAUACAAAUACUGCUGUCUCCCUCCUAGAACAAAAGGAUGAAGGGGGGGGGACUGAUACUCUUUUAAAUCUGUCUUACCCCAAGAGGCAGCUGCCUCCUCUCAAGCAAAACAGGAUGUUCAAAUUGGAUUAGGUUUCUCCAAUUCCC